GGGCACCCUGGUGGCGAGUGGCGAACCGGUGAGUAAUAUAUCGGAACAUGUCCGGAAGUGGGGGAUAGCUCGGCGAAAGCCGGAUUAAUACCGCAUAUGCCCUGAGGGGGAAAGGAGGGGAUCCGCAAGGACCUUUCUCUUUCGGAGUGGCCGAUAUCGGAUUAGCUAUUUGGUGAGGUAACGGCUCACCAAGGCGACGAUCCGUAGCUGGUCUGAGAGGACGACCAGCCUCACUGGAACUGAUACACGGUCCACACUCCUACGGGAGGCAGCAGUGGGGAAUUUUGGACAAUGGGGGCAACCCUGAUCCAUCCAUGCCGCGUGAGUGAAGAAGGACUUCCGGUUGUAAAGCUCUUUCGGCCGGAACGAAAUCGCGUACGUUGAAUAACGUGCGUGGAUGACGGUACUGGAAGAAGAAGCACCGGCUAACUACGUGCCAGCAGCCGCGGUAAUACGUAGGGUGCGAGCGUUAAUCGGAAUUACUGGGCGUAAAGCGUGCGUAGGCGGUUUUGUAAGUCAGAUGUGAAAUCCCCGGGCUUAACCUGGGAACUGCGUUUGAAACUACAGAGCUGGAGUGUGGCAGAGGGGGGUGGAAUUCCACGUGUAACAGUGAAAUGCGUAGAUAUGUGGAGGAAC
rnacentral:rRNA from 1 species